GUGAUUUUUCCUUGGAGCUGUCCUCCUUCCACCGAACCCAACCACACACCGAACCCUUCCUCCAUUGGCAGCGACAAGGAGAGAACCAGUGGUUCGUUUCUGACUUCCUCUUCUCUUCUUCUUCUCCUCUUACAAGUAGCUCCGGUGAAACAACUCACAUGGAAGGAGGAUUGGCGACCACAGCAUCCACCGACUUAGACAACCUCCGGAGGGAGCAGCAGCCACUCACCUGGACAACCACCGGAAGGAAUAGCUCCGAUCUGAAGUCUGAACAGCAGCCACAGAGAUUGUUGCUACCAAUUGCCGGAGAUCAUGUUCAACUGCUCAACCUUCUUCCUCUCUCUCUCUCCCUCUCUGAAUUUUAAAUUUUCAGGUUCUCAGAGGUGGCUGAGCUCUUAGACAGUUGCUAGCUCGAAAUCCAUGGCAAGAUAGAGACAAGAUUGCUGUCCCCAAGAACAAUUUACGAAGCAUACCUUGUAUUCAAAUUGGCGAAGAAUAGAAAAGGCCUCGACUUUCUCCGGACAAAGCUGUCUGUAACUGUUAAGGUUUGCUAUAGAACUAAGGGCGGAGAUAUCCAGAGUGUGUAUCUGGAUCUCUAAUUGCCUCACCAGCUGUAUACUAGAGUGAUUAUCAACCAUGUACAUAGCCGUAGGUUCACCUUGCAACCUCCCAUAUUGCUACCAUUCAUGUGGCUAGUGAAGGGAUGAGAGAUCCAUCCUAUGGACGC